ensembl:rRNA 5S_rRNA 5S ribosomal RNA
GUCUAUGGCCAUAUGACCCUGAACAUACCUAAUCUUAUCUGAUCUCAGAAUCUAAGCAGGGUUGGGCCUGGUUAGUAUUUGGAUGGGGGACCAGUGCUUGGAAGAUCUCUCUCCCUCUGCCU